GACGAACGCGGGCGGCGUGCCUAAUACAUGCAAGUAGAACGCUGAAGGAGGAGCUUGCUCUUCUGGAUGAGUUGCGAACGGGUGAGUAACGCGUAGGUAACCUGCCUGGUAGCGGGGGAUAACUAUUGGAAACGAUAGCUAAUACCGCAUAAGAGUAGAUGUUGCAUGACAUUUGCUUAAAAGGUGCAAUUGCAUCACUACCAGAUGGACCUGCGUUGUAUUAGCUAGUUGGUGGGGUAACGGCUCACCAAGGCGACGAUACAUAGCCGACCUGAGAGGGUGAUCGGCCACACUGGGACUGAGACACGGCCCAGACUCCUACGGGAGGCAGCAGUAGGGAAUCUUCGGCAAUGGACGGAAGUCUGACCGAGCAACGCCGCGUGAGUGAAGAAGGUUUUCGGAUCGUAAAGCUCUGUUGUAAGAGAAGAACGAGUGUGAGAGUGGAAAGUUCACACUGUGACGGUAUCUUACCAGAAAGGGACGGCUAACUACGUG
rnacentral:rRNA from 1 species